rnacentral:rRNA from 1 species
GACGAACGCUGGCGGCGUGCUUAACACAUGCAAGUCGAACGGAAAGGCCCUGCUUUUGUGGGGUGCUCGAGUGGCGAACGGGUGAGUUACACGUGAGUAACCUGCCCUUGACUUUGGGAUAACUUCAGGAAACUGGGGCUAAUACCGGAUAGGAGCUCCUGCUGCAUGGUGGGGGUUGGAAAGUUUCGGCGGUUGGGGAUGGACUCGCGGCUUAUCAGCUUGUUGGUGGGGUAGUGGCUUACCAAGGCUUUGACGGGUAGCCGGCCUGAGAGGGUGACCGGCCACAUUGGGACUGAGAUGCGGCCCAGACUCCUACGGGAGGCAGCAGUGGGGAAUAUUGCACAAUGGGCGGAAGCCUGAUGCAGCAACGCCGCGUGCGGGAUGACGGCCUUCGGGUUGUAAACCGCUUUCGCCUGUGACGAAGCGUGAGUGACGGUAAUGGGUAAAGAAGCACCGGCUAACUACGUGCCAGCAGCCGCGGUGAUACGUAGGGUGCGAGCGUUGUCCGGAUUUAUUGGGCGUAAAGGGCUCGUAGGUGGUUGAUCGCGUCGGAAGUGUAAUCUUGGGGCUUAACCCUGAGCGUGCUUUCGAUACGGGUUGACUUGAGGAAGGUAGGGGAGAAUGGAAUUCCUGGUGGAGCGGUGGAAUGCGCAGAUAUCAGGAGGAACACCAGUGGCGAAGGCGGUUCUCUGGGCCUUUCCUGACGCUGAGGAGCGAAAGCGUGGGGAGCGAACAGGCUUAGAUACCCUGGUAGUCCACGCUGUAAACGGUGGGUACUAGGUGUGGGGUCCAUUCCACGGGUUCCGUGCCGUAGCUAACGCUUUAAGUACCCCGCCUGGGGAGUACGGCCGCAAGGCUAAAACUCAAAGGAAUUGACGGGGCCCCGCACAAGCGGCGGAGCAUGCGGAUUAAUUCGAUGCAACGCGUAGAACCUUACCUGGGUUUGACAUGGAUCGGGGGUGCUCAGAGAUGGGUGUGCCUCUUUUGGGGUCGGUUCACAGGUGGUGCAUGGCUGUCGUCAGCUCGUGUCGUGAGAUGUUGGGUUAAGUCCCGCAACGAGCGCAACCCUUGUUCACUGUUGCCAGCACGUUAUGGUGGGGACUCAGUGGAGACCGCCGGGGUCAACUCGGUGGAAGGUGGGGAUGACGUCAAGUCAUCAUGCCCCUUAUGUCCAGGGCUUCACGCAUGCUACAGUGGCUGGUACAGAGAGUGGCGAGCCUGUGAGGGUGAGCGAAUCUCGGAAAGCCGGUCUCAGUUCGGAUUGGGGUCUGCAACUCGACCUCAUGAAGUCGGAGUCGCUAGUAAUCGCAGAUCAGCAACGCUGCGGUGAAUACGUUCCCGGGGCU